rnacentral:rRNA from 1 species
UACAGGGGGGGCAAGCGUUGUUCGGAAUUACUGGGCGUAAAGGGCUCGUAGGUGGCCAACUAAGUCAGACGUGAAAUCCCUCAGCUUAACUGGGGAACUGCGUCUGAUACUGGAUGGCUUGAGUUUGGGAGAGGGAUGCGGAAUUCCAGGUGUAGCGGUGAAAUGCGUAGAUAUCAGGAGGAACACCCGUAGCGAAGGCGGCACUCUGGGCCGGAACUGACGCUGAGGAGCGAAAGCGUGGGGAGCAAACAGG